rnacentral:lncRNA from 1 species
GCGAUUUCUGCUGCCUGGGGCCGUGGCGGUGGGGGCUGCGGAGCCCAGGAGCUUCCCACCCAGAGGAAAGGCAGCCUCACCCUCACUCUUCUCAGCGCGGACACGCCGCCCUCACCGCCGUGGGUGAGGGUCCUCAGGCUACACCCCACGGCUUGGAAUUCCACAACAUUGGACGAGGCACUCAGGACGGCCUGGCUCCCACAGACCCCUGCAGGAUGAACAGCCUCCCUGAGUCCAGGACGCCAGUGUCCGAAGAUUUCUGAAGGUUGUUGCAUUGAACCCAGGAAGGCUCCAGAGUGCCGGGGACUCUGGAGCCGUGCUUGAAAAUCUGCUGUCCUCUCAGGCUGCUGCCCUGCUGCUCUGCCCGCCGCUCCUGAGUCCCGUCCAAACUGCCUGGCCUGGCCUUCAAGGCCUCCAAGUGGGGCCUCCGCUUCCCUCUUCAGCUCAUCUCCCGCCCCAGCCCGGCCCUGACCCAGUGCACCGGCCACGGAAGCAUCGCAGCCUCGACUCCACGAACGCCAGGCCUGCGAACCGGGACCAUCACCGCUCCAGGAGGCGCCAAUCAAGGCCACUCGGCCGGACUCCGUGUCUGGACCUGGGCCCUGUCUUCUGCCUCCGAGUUCCCGCGCUUCCCGACCAGCCGCGGUUUCUGCACGCGCGCUUCCUCCGCUGGUACCACCCCCUCCCUUUCUGGAACUCCUUCCAGCUCAUCGUCCCAAACCCUAGCUGUCCUUCAAGGCCUGGCCCAGACGUGGCCUCCUGGACCUCCCCCUCCCCCCUGUAGUGUGUGUUGCCUUUUAUUUGUGACCUUGGGUCGCCGAGUUCCCGGGAGGGAGGGGCGAUGGGGGUCUACCGGCAGAGACGGCUAGUGGUCCCACAGUACUCACUCUCCUCUUCCGAAAGUAAAAGAAGCUCCAAAUU